rnacentral:rRNA from 2 species
AACGUAGGAGCCAAGCGUUAUCCGAAUUCACUGGGCGUAAAGCGCGUGCAGGCGGUAUGGCAAGUUGGAUGUGAAAUCUCCCGGCUCAACUGGGAGAGGCCGUUCAAUACUGCCAAACUAGAGGGCGACAGAGGGAGGUGGAAUUCCGGGUGUAGUGGUGAAAUGCGUAGAUAUCCGGAGGAACACCAGAGGCGAAGGCGACCUCCUGGGUCGCACCUGACGCUCAGACGCGAAAGCUAGGGGAGCAAACGGG